AGCAUCCUCUAAGGUUCUCUCAUUUCCAGCCGACAUUAUGAAACGACAGCAAAAGAGAAAGCAUGUUGGAAGUGAGGAUUCUGAAGAAACUGAUGAGAAAGGAAGAGGAGCCUCGAGGUCACCAGAUGAUGCUUCUCAGCCAAGGUCACCUGGAGCAUCCAGAACCCAGAGCCCAGGGACAGGGGAGACAUCCUCUGCUUCUGAAUACUUCUCAUGUGUUUCUUCUCCCUCCAAGCUCCCUCGACUCACCUGUGGCAGGUCAGAAGUUUCUCUUCAAUAUUUUCAGAACCCGGAAUAGUGGAAUAUUUUCCUCAAAUGUGUUUGUAGUGCCUUGCUGGAAUGAAUGAGUGAAUGAAUGUCCAUCAGUAAUACAAGGUACCCUACAUAAUGGGGAACAUUAUAGGCUGCAGAUUUUCUGAGCCGUGAAUAUAAAGCAUGAACACACAUUCUCUACAGAUAUAGAAAUAAGUUUCCACCACAUUCAACACACUGACCCUAUGGAGUGUCAAAGGAUACCUGAUACAAAUCACUGUUACACUUCAUAGCCAGAACACAGGCCUGCAUUUUUUUUCCUCCUUGAGUUUAUUGGUACAUUUUAGGGAUACAGUACAGUUACAUUCAUUAUUGGGAUCUUAUACCUUUACAUGACAGGUCUUGGUUCUCAUUUUUUCCCCUUGUC
rnacentral:lncRNA from 1 species